rnacentral:lncRNA from 1 species
CCAGUCAAAGAAUGAGGCAGACUUCUCCUCCUCUCCUAGAUCUAAUCCUGCGAUCUCCGCCUGGGCGAUAGUAGACAAUUAAAUGCACACGGUCUUCACGGACCUCCAGCUUACUCAAAAUCUCCGGUCAUCCAUGGCAGCCAGUUGACUCACUCCCCUUCAUCUAGUCACCCACGGUAACUCAUUAAUUCACACGAUCACGCCCAAUCAUGACUGUAGCUCAUUAAUUCGCCCAGU